rnacentral:rRNA from 1 species
GUCUCCUACGGGGGGCAGCAGUGGGGAAUAUUGGACAAUGGGGGGAACCCUGAUCCAGCGACGCCGCGUGAGUGAAGAAGUAUUUCGGUAUGUAAAGCUCUAUCAGCAGGGAAGAAAGAAAUGACGGUACCUGACUAAGAAGCCCCGGCUAACUACGUGCCAGCAGCCGCGGUAAUACGUAGGGGGCAAGCGUUAUCCGGAUUUACUGGGUGUAAAGGGAGCGUAGACGGCAUAGCAAGUCUGAAGUGAAAGCCCGUGGCUCAACCGCGGAACUGCUUUGGAAACUGUUAAGCUGGAGUACUGGG